UCGUGCAGCGGCUUCGCCCCGCCGGACUUCAACCAUUGCCUCAAGGAUUGGGACUAUAAUGGCCUUCCUGUGCUCACCACCAACGCCAUCGGCCAGUGGGAUCUGGUGUGUGACCUGGGCUGGCAGGUGAUCCUGGAGCAGAUCCUCUUCAUCUUGGGCUUUGCCUCCGGCUACCUGUUCCUGGGUUACCCCGCAGACAGGUGAGGGCUGUCGUGGGGGCAGGGCUGGUAGAAAGGAGGGGGUGCUAGGGAAGCUAGCCCAAGCAGCGGGCGUUUACAGGAGGUCGAAGACGAUUCGCUGGACUCUGCCGUCUUCUCUGGACUUCUAUUCAAUGGUCUAUCCAUGUCUCAACUUCACUCCCCAUCAAGAAAUACACCUUCCCUACCUCUUCCGUGCAAGGGAAUGACUCGACCUCCAUGGACUAUUAGUCCCAUUCCCACUAAUUAGUGGCCCCCUAUCCGUGAAUCAAUGGCUUCAUUUCCAAAGAGAAUAGUCUCAUCCCCACUAACAGCCCACAUGGACUGUUAGCUCCAUCUCAGUGACCUCAUUCCUGAAGAUCAAUAUGUUAAUUCCUAAACACCAACAGCUCCAUUCCCACUGAUCAAUAGUUCAACUUCACAAACAAAUUACCCCAUUUCUGACCAGCGGCCCCUUCCCUACAAGUCAAUAACUAUCUCCAAAGAAAAUAUCCUCAGACCCAAUAACCCACAGUCCCAUGCUUGCCACCAAAUGACCCAACCCUCUGUAGGUGAAUAGCCCAUAGAUUAAAAGUCACACCCUCAUGGAUCCUCAGGGCUUUCAGAUCCUCUCACCGAAAUCCCCGUUUCCAUGAGUCAGUAGCUUCACCUCCAGAGAUCAACAGCCCAAUCCCAGCAACCAAUAACUCUUCCCACAAAUCAAAAAUCUCAUCUCUGAUUUUGGUCACCUUCACCACUGACCAGAUGCUCUCACUGCACUAAACUUCCAAUUAGACUCAGCCCCAUUGAUCCACAGUUCCAUCCAAGUGGAUUAAUAACUCAACUUCUAUGGAUC
rnacentral:sRNA from 1 species